GGUUGCGAUCAUACCAGCACUAAUGCACCAGAUCCCAUCAGAACUCCGCAGUUAAGCGUGCUUGGGCGAGAGUAGUACUAGGAUGGGUGACCCUCUGGGAAGUCCUCGUGUUACACCCU
rnacentral:rRNA from 1 species